rnacentral:lncRNA from 1 species
GUUGUGUGAUUGUAACACAAGGUGUUUUAUGACCAACUGAGUCAGAUUUUGUCGUCCGGUUAAAAUAUGUAUGAUCUUAUCUUAUCUUAUAGACGAUAAAACCUUACAGACCAGGACAAAUACAGAUAUACAUAUAUUCAGAAUAAGAAAAACAACAUCCCAUUUGAAUUUGUUCGAUAUUAUUUGGCUUCCUAACAAGUUACGUGUUAUGUUACCUUAUGCGCAUAAAGGGUGUUAACAAUUAGAUAAAAAUCAAUAUAAAAAAAAAUCAAUUGUCUUGGCCUUGUUUUUUUUGUAGGAAUACCUUUCAAGGUAUGAAAAUAGAUGAUGUGACGUAUUUUAAUGUACUAUAAUUAGCAUCUAUCGGGCUAUUUAAAACAUGAUUUACCUAUCUUAUCGAAUGAAAAGAAUUCACGGGAAAUUGGCCAUACCUCUUUUAAAUGUAUCAAUGAACUUCUUGCAAUAUUUUAGUUGCAAUAAU